GAUCGAACAAUUGCAUCUUAAAACACAUGAUUAAAGUGUUGGUGUGAAAUGUUUCAUGACAUAAUAUAUAUAGUGAAAUGUUACAUAUAUAUUCUAAUUAGAUCUUCAUAUAUCUCAACGUACAUAACUUCAAAUUGUUUAUUGUUUGUAUUACAAAUUAAACUUGAUUAGCAAAAUAUACUUUAAAACAUAAUUUUCUACAUUAAACAAGUCAAUAAUUAAUCAUAUUUUUAGGCAAAAUCGAUUGCUUUUAAUAAACGCGCAAAAGCCACCGUGACCAUGAUUGUGGGUAAGCCAUCGUGGUCACGAUGAGAGACACGAUCAUGUCAACGAUCAUGCCCACGGUCGUGUUCAUGAUUGUGUCCACUGUCCACGGUCGUGGACACGAUUGUGCCCUUGACUGUGGACACGAUGGUGGACAACGGUUGUGAUUUGACCUGAUUAUUAGACACCAACAUCCAUGUAACACAAAACCAAUCAAAUUCAAUUUAAAUGAGCAUUAAAAUAUAUAUAAAUGACAUUCCAGAGAUCAUGGUCUGUCGUGCCUACAAUGGUGGAUCACGAUCGUGCCCUCGACUGUGGACACAAUUAUUGGCAUGAUCGUGUCCACGGUCGUGGGCAUAUGUUAGGGCUGCACGGAAAAUGAAGAGAGAGUAUGUUGACUUUUUCAAAAAGUGGUGGGGAUAUAAAGGGUCUUUUAGUCCUUUUACAAAUUUUGGUAUGCAAAAGAAUGAGUUUUGAAGAGGGGAUAUAUAACUUAUUAGUUUUAUGGUGUGGUGUUUAUUUAUCGGUUUCCACUAUUUUAUUUAAAUGCAAUAAUAUUUAAUAAUUCUUUGAAGAAUUUUUCAAAAAGUAAACAAAAUUAUAAUAAAAAAAAUAAGUUAAAGAGCAUGUUUCUUUUAUUUUUUUGAACUUAUAUAUUUAAAAAGCUUAUCAAGAUACUCGAACUCAUUACAAAGCUUAUUAAAAAGUGAUUUUUCUAAACUAGCAUGUGAUCUACGUGCAGCGCACGGGAAACGUUUUCAUUUUUCUAUAUUUAUAUAAAACUGAUACCAACUCAAUUAUCAUAUUCAUAUCAUAUGGGUUAAUUGCCAGUAAAUCCAUAACGUUUUCUCGGAAUUGGUUUUUGCUCCCAAUUUGAAAAAUCGACUUCUAAAUCCACAACAUUUUAUUUUUGUCUCAAAUUUAUCCCGUGACCAAUUUUUCUUACGCUGGUGCUGAAAAUAAUACGGUGGCAGCCGGAAUUGACACGGUGGCAAAUUUAUGACAUGUGGAAAAAAAAAUUAAAAAAACAAUAAAAAUAAAAAACCCACAUCAUCAUCUUCCCAAACCUCCCCACUCCCAAACCCUAAUUUUCCCUCCCCCCACCCGUCGCCGCCGACAACCGCCGCCAUCUCACCUCUCAACCUCUCAUGUCUCCCUCUUCUUCGGUAAACCCUCUACCUCCAGAAAUCUUCAGCGGUGGAAAAGGUGUAAAUCGGGUAAAUUGAGCUUUCCCACGCCGCCUGUUUCGAUUUCUCGCUUUCUUCAACCAUCGUUUUCAUUCCUCGCUAAUUUCUGCAGAUUUGUGUUUUGGGAUGUGAAGUGGAAACGAGAGUUGAGGUUUAGACGAGAAAUCGUACAAUAUGUCAAUUAGGAUCGGAGUCGAAGCAGAUGCCAAGUUUCACAGUGACGGCGGCGAAGAUUUAAUGAAAAUGCACAAGACGACGUCAGAUCAGAUGAAACUGCCAUUCUUUUCGACUAAAUUGGAUUUCAACACAGACGACGCUGCAUCCAGCUGCAAGCACUUGGAUUUGAAUAGUUUCAGCUGGACCUGAUUUCCACACGCCGGCAGUGGCAUGGGGCGGCGGCGCCAGCGUAUGGUGGCGGCUAGUGGGGAGAGGAGAAAUUAAGGUUUGGGAGUGAGGGAGGUUGGGGAAGAUGAUGAUGGUCUCUAUUAAACCUUCAAAUCCUGACACGUUCUUGUGGAAAGGGGCAAGCGAUGGGAAUAUUUCAACCAAAGAGAUGUAUUCCUUGAUUCACAGAGCAUCAUUUAACGAGGACAACAUUCCGGUUGCUUUCCGUUACAUCUGGUUGAGGUUCAUUCCAAGGUGUCUUCUUUCACGUGGAGGGCUCUUCAGAUACAAUCCCUACAAGAUGCCUAUUUUGUCAAGCCCUUGAAGGAAACUCCGACCAUGUUCUUGUCUCUUGCCAGUUUGUCGAUUCAAUUUGAAAGAGUAUUUGUUGUUGGCUCAAGGUUCCAUUACUCUCUUCAAGCUUUCUUUUGGAUCACCAUUGUGAGUUUGUCAACUUGGAAAAGAAUAAAGAUGCAAAGAUGAUGUUCAAUGUCAUUUGGUAAUGCGUUUGUUGGAAGAUCUGGAAAGGAAAAAACGAUAAGAUUUUUAACGAAGGGUGUCCGAAUACUGGUAGGAUUGUUGAUGGCAUUAUUAUUUGUAGUUGGAGGUGGUUCAGGGCGAACUCUCCUUUUGAUUUCUGUGUUUCUUUUCAUUGUUGGUUCUCCGAUCUCACUAGAUGCUUCCCUUCUAGGAUUUCCUAGAUGUAUUUUGUUGGUGUUUAUGGACACCCGUCCUUGUACUUCCUGAUCUUGAAUACUCCUUGUACUCUUUUUAUUUUUAAAUAUAUAUUUUUUU